CCCUUGAAAGCCCCAGCGACA
rnacentral:tRNA from 1 species